UGCUUCCAUGACCUUGGGAAAACCCAGGUUUUGCUCAGGGAGCAAUCCUUCCCGCCCGUGGAGACAAGCAGGGUGUGCAGAGCCGAGCGCCGCGGGGAAUGUGAAAUACAGAGCUGUGUUUUGUGUCAGAGAGGAAAAGCAUCCCAGCUUGGCUGGCAGCAGAGCCCAGGCCUGAGGCUGCUCAGCGUUGGUGUGACCUGUCACAGCUGCCCAGAGCCAGGAGAUGCAGCUGAGGGAUCCAGGAGGAUGCAGCUCUUGUUUCCAAGGAGGAUAAUAUAAGACUGAAAGGAGCUUGGCAGGAGAGCCCCUGUGAAACAAAGCACAAUGGGAAUACCUGUGAGUAGGGACUCUAAGGAAUUCCUGCUGCUCCUGCUGUCCUGGUCUUUUCCAGGACAGGAAAAAUCAUUUAAUUGGACCCAGCUCUGCCAGAACCUUUGGUUUUGGGUGGGAU